UCACUGUCGUACGGGUGCGUAACGCGUAUGCAACCUACCUAUCACUGGGGGAUAGCCCGGGGAAACCCGGAUUAAUACCGCAUAAAACAGGGGCACCGCAUGGUGAUAUUUGUUAAAGAUUUAUUGGUGAUAGAUGGGCAUGCGUUCGAUUAGCUAGUUGGCGGGGUAACGGCCCACCAAGGCGACGAUCGAUAGGGGAGCUGAGAGGUUGAUCCCCCACACGGGCACUGAGAUACGGGCCCGACUCCUACGGGAGGCAGCAGUAGGGAAUAUUGGGCAAUGGAUGCAAGUCUGACCCAGCCAUGCCGCGUGCCGGAUGAAGGCCCUCAGGGUUGUAAACGGCUUUUAUUCGGGAAGAAGAGCAGGGAUGCGUCCUUGUGUGACGGUACCGAAUGAAUAAGCACCGGCUAACUCCGUGCCAGCAGCCGCGGUAAUACGGAGGGUGCGAGCGUUGUCCGGAUUUAUUGGGUUUAAAGGGUGCGUAGGUGGCCUAAUAAGUCAGUGGUGAAAUACGGUUGCUCAACAAUCGAGGUGCCAUUGAUACUGUGAGGCUUGAAAUAAUUGGAGGCUGCCGGAAUGGAUGGUGUAGCGGUGAAAUGCAUAGAUAUCAUCCAGAACACCGAUUGCGAAGGCAGGUGGCUACGAUUGGUUUGACACUGAGGCACGAAAGCAUGGGGAGCAAACAGGAUUAGAUACCCUGGUAGUCCAUGCUGUAAACGAUGAGGACUCGUUGUUUGGCUGUAAAGCUGAGCGACUUAGGGAAACCGUUAAGUCCUCCACCUGGGGAGUACGCCGGCAAC
rnacentral:rRNA from 1 species